GAUGAGUUGGAAACAUUAGAGUCAUAUCAGGAGCCAGAUCAUGAGAUUGAGAGAGAAUAUGUGCCCAAUUUUGAUAAGGAAGUUCAAGUGAUUAAGGUUGAAGUUGAAGAGCCUAUGAGCCAUGUACUUAGAAAAAAAUGGAAAGCCUACAAGACUUUGUAGGUCAUAUUGAGUCAAGCAAGAAUGGGCCUAAAAAAUGGGAGAAUUUUUAUGUACCUUGAUGGACAAUCUCCUAUGUCGUCUAGCUUGGACGUUAAACUCAGCGCAUCUUGGGAGGAAAUCAAGCAAUUGGAUGAGAACAAGCAAUUUUGGAAGAUUAAUGACCAAAAUACCCCAAAGAAGGUCAAGGUUUUGACCUAGGGCAUUGAUCAAUGGAGAAAAAAGAAAGAAAAAUCAUAAAUUAAAGGCAGGACAGCGUUGAACAAGCAUUGCAACGCUGCCCCGUGACAUUGCAAGGUAGAGAGCUCAUGGAAAUAGGGCAGUGUCGCAACAUUGCAGUAGCGUUGUGAUGCUACAACCAGUGAUGUGUUCUACGGAUGAAAUUAUCGUUAGCAUUACAACGCUACAUCAGAGCGUUGCAACACUGCGACUACUUUCUACAUAAGCAGUUUAUGGCUGAACAGAUUUUGGGAGGCAUUUUUAGGGCUAUAUUUAGAGCGUAAAGCAAUAUUUCGAUGAGGCCUCCCUAGGAAGUGUAAUUCUGGACAGAGGCGGCAUCUCGGAGAUUCAAAGGAUCGAAGAUUUGAAGAGCUCGUUGGGUUGCGAUUUCGGAUUCGAAGACGAGAGUCAAGAACACGACUUG